AACUAAGUUUGUUCUGGUAUAAGCUUUCCUGUGCAUGCACACUGUGUAUAUGAAGAAGUGUGCAUGCACACGAAUCUGAAGAAGAAGUGUGCAUGCACAGGAAAGCUUAUACCAGAACAAACUUAGUU